CUCCCCGAGUUCAGUACGUACGGUGGGCUAGAAGAUAAUAGGCGCGAGUUUUUCCAUGUUGCUCCGCCUGAAGAUUACCACCGUCCAGCCUGUGGCGCUGCUUCUUGGGCAUGACCAUGGCGCGACAGCAUCCCCGCGGCGUCUCGCCGGAGCCCUUCCGCAGGGCGGUGGAGCGUCCACGAGAGCAAAGAGGCUGAGGAGCGUGGCGGUGGCGAUGGCGCUCAAGGAGGAGGAGCCGGAGAGCAGCCGAAGCCGCUUCGCCGGGGGCGGCCCGAGCUGGGACCCCAGGAUGGAGAUCGGAGUCCCAUACGAGCAAAGACCGGUUAACGAGUACUCCGCUCUCAAGGAGAGCACCUUGUACUCUUGGGCAGAGCUGAGUCCAGGCUCUUUCUUCAUGCGCCUAGGCAGCCUGUGCCUGGUCACAUUUACAGUUCUGGCGGCCCCAAUCUCAGCCGCAAGUUUCAGUCCCGGAAAGGAUCCACUCAAGUUCGUGCUAGCUGCUGGGAUUGGGACCCUGCUCCUGGUGUCUCUUGUGGUUCUCAGGAUCUACCUGGGUUGGAGCUACGUGGGUGACAGGCUAUUAUCGGCAGUCGUGCCGUAUGAAGAAACCGGGUGGUACGAUGGCCAAAUGUGGGUCAAGCCAGCAGAGGUGCUGGCUCGCGACAGGCUAUUGGGAUCUUACAAGGUAAAGCCGGUGAUCAACCUGCUCAAACAGACACUGGUGGGCACCGGUGCGCUGCUCGUCGGGGCGGUGGCACUCUUCGCCUUCGCCGCCCCCGUCGAGGAAUUCGUCCACUCCUUCAAUGGAGCCCCCACUACCGCCUCCUCUAAGCCGAUCAUGAGGAGAGAGGACCUGCUGAAGCUGCCUGCCGAGGUGAGGCAAGACGACGACCUCGCUGCGGCUGCUGCGGAGGCCGCCAAUGGACGCCCGGUUUACUGCAGGGACCGCUACUACCGGGCGCUCGCCGGCGAAACAAGUCAGCCUUGACCCGACCCCGACUGAGCUGCGCCCUGUGUGGCGCCGCCGCCAACCCACCGCGAAAUCAGCCCGCCGCCGGCGCGUAGGAGCUACUUUAGUUUGUCCUUUGCUCAUCAUGCCGUUAAAAGCACCAACUGUCUGCAACUGGGUCCCUUCCACAGUUACUGAGGAUACCUUGAAGGAAUUUGUCACCAUAGGAUUUUUGCCAGAGAAAAAUGUUAUGUCUUAUCGUGCACCUAACUCGGACGAAGAACGACCUCAGCCUAAAUACGGUGAAGUUAUCAUUUUCACCGAUCACAUGAACCGGGGUUUCUCACCACCCGGCUCAAAGUUCUUCCGAGAUGUUCUGCAUUUUUUCAAGCUUCACCCACAAGACAUUGGACCCAACUCUAUAUCCAAUAUCUGCAAUUUUCAUGUUCUUUGUGAGGUAUAUCUUCAAGAAGAACCGACCGUGGAACUCUUCAGAGAAUACUUUUAUCUGAACCACCAGAAUGAAUGCACCAACGGCCUUAGUUUGGAGCUUGGUGGAAUCUCAAUUCAACGCCGACAGGGCGCCGUCUUUCCCUUAAUAUUCUUACCAAGCCAUCCCAAAUAUUGGAAUCAGACCUGGUUCUACUGCCAAGAUAAGUCACCAGCCAAUGAAAAACCACUGUCGGGUUAUCGCGCGGAAUGUCUGGAUUCCAAGUUUGUGCUCCCUGAUAAGCUUACCGCUGCUGAACGCAAGAAGCUUAUUCCAUCUAUUAGAAGGAUUCAACCUUUAUUGGGGAACGACUUAACUGGAGUUGACCUAACCCGUUGCUGGGUCGCAUGGCGGGUCAUCCCCCUAAGCCGCUGAUCCAAGUUAAUGUACGAGUAUGGCGGAGGCCCAAAUGACUCUCUGCAUUAUAGCUCUGUUCAAUUGACUGAAGAAGACGUUGUUGCAAUGUCAACCAUCCUCAUGAACGGAAAAUAUGAGGACUGCAUUAAGGUUGGGUUAAACCCCUUCUGCAAACUUAACCUGGCCCUAGAGGCCAAAUCUGACUUCUGGAAGGCCAAGUAUGAUCAUGAAGCUGCCAAGAAGGCUAGAGCCGCUGCCAUAGCCGCCCGGAGAACGACCCAGAAGCCCAAGAAGAAGAAGACUGCAUCUGACUUAUUCCACCUGGAUGAUGCUUCUGAAUCGGAAGUAGCCCUUGACUCCCUUGGCCAGUUUUUUAACUAUCUUAUUGACACUGACUAUUGCCAGGACGACACGGGGGCCAGCCAGGCCGUGGAAGAAGAGCAACAUGAGAGCCGCCGUCAGGCCCGGACUAAUGACGAUGAUGAACCACCUUCUGAUUUACAAUAAACUCCUCGAAAACGCCAGAAUGAGGAGGUUUCUCGCUCUUCUGGCGACUCGUCGCAAACUCAAUUUCCGGCUUUCAAGACUGCCCCUGGAGGUCAAGCCAAAUCCAAGAAGGCCAAGGUGAUUAAGCCGACAGAAGACCCGAAAGUUCCUGCAACUGAGCCGGCCAUGCCAACUCCCUCUCAAACUGAAGCACCAGAAGACCCGGCUAUUCAUACUCAAUUGGACCCUCCUGAGUUGCCAGCCGAUGAUGCCACCCUUAAUCCGACCAUUACUGAACCAUCUAGCUCAUCUAACCCGCCAACAACUUCUGAUACUGACGUUUUGAUUACCGGUAGCCGGUUUGUUGAACCGGGGACCCCCACUAUAUUAGCGCGACAUACUGCUAAGAAAGAGGCUUUAGAGAAGCAGAAAGUGCGGUUUGAUAUCUCCCAUUACGUUCACCUCAAUGUCAAUGAUGUACUGUCCGGCUAUCUCAGUCAUGUGCACUCCAGCCGUGACUCGGAAAUCGAGAUGGUCAAACAAUUAAAACUAAAAUAUGUGGUAUGUUCUCCGGUUUACUUAUACUCUGCCAGCCCCAAGUCUUUAGAUGAUGAACUUGAAUGAUCUGUAGACUUUAUGAUAUAAGUUGAUACUUUGCCUCUAGGUUUUUCGAAAGUCCAAUAGAGUAGCGUAAACUUCACCUAUAGUCCCCAAGGGCCAGCUCAAUUUAUCAUAAAUGAACCGGUACUUAAUUGCAUAACUGUCUUUUACUAGUCCCAAUAAGUAUUGUGAUCCAACUCAAUCUUGAAAAACUUUCUGAAUAUCAUGCAUUAGCCCCCAAGUGCCAAGCGUUGUUACUUUGUAAAACCCUUGGGACUUGAAACAUAUAAAAGUCAUAAAAAAUUGCUUUGGCAGACAUUAGCCCCCAAGUGUCAAGUGGUAUUGUGGUGCAAAGUACUUGAGACUUGAACCCUUAUAACUUUUAGUUUAAGUCUUGACACACCUGUGAAUGUUUUGUAGAACGCCCUAUCUGAAUUGGGCUCUCAAUUGACGGAUGCCAAGACCUGACUGGCGGAGUAGGAGACAGAGAUAAAGACCACUGACUCUAAACUCCAAUUGAGCCUCUCUGAAUCUGAGAAAUUGAAGACCAGCUUAGCUGCAAAAAAGAAAUCCCGAGACGAAGAAAAGACGCUGCUGAUACAACACGCUGAGACAGCUGAGGCGGCUCUUGUGGAGGCUACAACAGAGCUCACUGGUUUAAAAAACCGGGUGUCUCAAAUGGUCCAUGGAGUAACAACCUGAGCCAGGAUAGUGUGACAAAGCUGAAGGCGGUUUAUACCUUGGUGGAACAACUUUAUACGGGAGCUCAACGGGCGCUUGCUGCUAUCUCUCCUGCCAACCAAGGACCCAACCGCCUAAGUGAUGUUUUGAAGAAGUUAUCGAUCUUACCCGCCAGUUUUCAAGAGGUCAAACGAUCUUGUGCCAGAGCCGGAGCCCUGACUGCCCUGAGCCGCUCCAAAGCUUGGGUGCCGGAUUUAGACCCGGUGGACGUGGCUAAGGGGUACCCUACCGUGAAGCAAGACGGGACUCCAUUUGAGCAAGAUGACUUUAUUACCUGCGUAAGGGGAGUUCAUCCUAAAGCUACCAUUCUUGGAGAGGAGACCAACAUCGAGAAAUAUCAGCCGGGUUUUGAUAUGGAGAAUAAGAAGAUGGCGACUCCCUCUUAUAAAGUGACAGAUCUUACCGCCGGUUUGUCAACACACUUUUGCCCCGGAAAUUGACCCGGCCGGCCUAAUUGAUAAUGAGGCCGAGUUCAUUGCUUUGAACGGCUUUGACUGGUCCAAUCCCAGCUUCCAACCAGUGGAGGGAGGUGAGCCGGCCAGGGGGGAGUCAUAACCAUCUGAACAAUCCAGCUUUUAGCUUAAGACCUACUUAGGAGAGAAAAACAGUCUAACCUUUUGGGCUCUCAAUGCCUUGUAAUAGGUUAGUUUGAAAACUGCAUAUUUUGCCUAUGCCAUUGUGCAUAUGACUCUUUACCCAUGAUGUCAAUAUAUGCAUUACAUCCGUGGUUA